GACGAACGCUGGCGGUGUGCUUAACACAUGCAAGUCGAACGGUAAGGCCCUUUCGGGGGUAGACGCGUGGCGAACGGGCGGGUGACACGUGCGUAAGCUGCCCUCCUCUCUGGGUUAACAGACGGAAACGGUUGCUAAUACUGGCUAUGUGCUUGCUCGGCCUCCUGUGGGGUGGAAGGAUUUUUUCGGGUGGGGAUGGAGUCGCGGCCUUUCAGCUUGUUGGUGGGGGAGUGGCGCACCAAGGCGUCGUCGGGUAGCCGGCCUGGGAGGGCGACCGGCCACAUUUGGGCUGGGAUUCGGGCCAAACUCCUUCGGGGAGCAGCAGUUGGGAAUAUUGCACCAUGGGCCGGAGUCCGAUGCAGCAACGCCGGGUUCGGGAUGACGGGCCUCGGGUUGUAAACCGCUUUCAAUUGGGACGGAGCUGUUUGUGACGGUAGCAGUAGAAGAAGCACCGGCUAACUACGUG
rnacentral:rRNA from 1 species